rnacentral:rRNA from 1 species
CCUACGGGUGGCAGCAGUGAGGAAUAUUGGUCAAUGGCCGCAGGGCUGAACCAGCCAAGUCGCGUGAGGGAUGACGGUCCUAUGGAUUGUAAACCUCUUUUGUCGGGGAGCAAAGCGAACCACGUGUGGUUCAUUGAGAGUACCCGAAGAAAAAGCAUCGGCUAACUCCGUGCCAGCAGCCGCGGUAAUACGGAGGAUGCGAGCGUUAUCCGGAUUUAUUGGGUUUAAAGGGUGCGCAGGCGGAGGUGCAAGUCAGCGGUAAAAUUGCGGGGCUCAACCCCGUACUGCAGUUGAAACUGCAUCCCUUGAGUGCGCGAGAGGUAUGCGGAAUGCGUGGUGUAGCGGUGAAAUGCAUAGAUAUCACGCAGAACUCCGAUUGCGAAGGCAGCAUACCGGCGCGCAACUGACGCUCAUGCACGAAAGCGUGGGUAUCGAACAGGAUUAGAUACCCGAGUAGUC